rnacentral:rRNA from 1 species
AGCGUAGACGGAUGGACAAGUCUGAUGUGAAAGGCUGGGGCUCAACCCCGGGACUGCAUUGGAAACUGCCCGCCUUGAGUGCCGGAGAGGUAAGCGGAAUUCCUAGUGUAGCGGUGAAAUGCGUAGAUAUUAGGAGGAACACCAGUGGCGAAGGCGGCUUACUGGACGGUAACUGACGUUGAGGCUCGAAAGCGUGGGGAGCAAAACA